rnacentral:rRNA from 1 species
GUGGGGAAUAUUGGACAAUGGGGGGAACCCUGAUCCAGCCAUGCCGCGUGUGUGAAGAAGGCCUUUUGGUUGUAAAGCACUUUAAGCGAGGAGGAGGCUACCGAGAUUAAUACUCUUGGAUAGUGGACGUUACUCGCAGAAUAAGCACCGGCUAACUCUGUGCCAGCAGCCGCGGUAAUACAGAGGGUGCAAGCGUUAAUCGGAUUUACUGGGCGUAAAGUGCGCGUAGGUGGCCAAUUAAGUCAAAUGUGAAAUCCCCGAGCUUAACUUGGGAAUUGCAUUCGAUACUGGUUGGCUAGAGUAUGGGAGAGGAUGGUAGAAUUCCAGGUGUAGCGGUGAAAUGCGUAGAGAUCUGGAGGAAUACCGAUGGCGAAGGCAGCCAUCUGGCCUAAUACUGACACUGAGGUGCGAAAGCAUGGGGAGCAAACAGGAUUAGAAACCCUUGUAGUCC